CUGACCCAGCUCCAGGCAAGACAGAUGGCCAGUCACUGGGAAGGAAUUUAGUACAGGAGUCUGAAUUUGGUGCUCCCUGAAACCAGAUUCACACAGCCAAACAUCUUCUUCCAGUGAGUUUUCAAACGCAUUCAAGGAAUCACUGAGAUCCACAAAGUACUGGCCAGAGAGGAAGAAAGAAGUAGAAACUCUCGAAAGAAUGAAAUACAGUGAAGGUGAAUUGCCAGUAUGGACUGACACCCUUGGCUCAUCGCUUGGUGCCUGCUUGGAGCAGCAUGAAAAGUGCAAAUUCACUUGCACAUUUGCAAAGAAUGGAUCACAAUCUUUCCACUGUCUUAUAGAAGCAGAGCCAAUUCCUGGGCCAACGUGUAAGAAAGGCGUGUCUCAGGCUUGAAAGAGUGACAGUCUAAUGAAGAAUGGCAGUUGAAAAAAGAAAUGCACCCAGAGGCAGACAUCGUGUUAAGGAAAACAACACCCUGAAGAAGCCAUACCCUCUUCCCCAAGUUCGGGACUGACACCCACUUGUGGUGCAAGUCUGCUCAUGUCUCUGUGAUGAAUUUCAGGGCUCAGUAUGAACUAGUGUAGUAUUACCCAAGAAUAAUUUCAGUAACAAAUUGUCUGGAUCAGACUGGCCUCUGGGCAUGUCUAUGUCUUGAUGAUAUUACUUGAUGUGGGUGGCACUGCUCCCUGGUGAACUGAGGUGUGAGCUGAGAUGUGAGCACCCACUUGUAUCCUGUCCCUGAUUUAGAGAUCUGUGUGAUGUGCCUGACUCCUUCAGGUUCUGCAGCUUCCCUGCCAACGGGGUACCACAACCUGGAACUGUG